rnacentral:rRNA from 1 species
AACGAACGCUGGCGGCAGGCUUAACACAUGCAAGUCGAGCGCCCCGCAAGGGGAGCGGCAGACGGGUGAGUAACGCGUGGGAAUCUACCCAUCUCUACGGAAUAACGCAUGGAAACGUGUGCUAAUACCGUAUACGUCCUUCGGGAGAAAGAUUUAUCGGAGAUGGAUGAGCCCGCGUUGGAUUAGCUAGUUGGUGGGGUAAAGGCCUACCAAGGCGACGAUCUAUAGCUGGUCUGAGAGGAUGAUCAGCCACACUGGGACUGAGACACGGCCCAGACUCCUACGGGAGGCAGCAGUGGGGAAUAUUGGACAAUGGGCGCAAGCCUGAUCCAGCCAUGCCGCGUGAGUGAUGAAGGGCCUAGGGUUGUGAAGCUCUUUCACCGGUGAAGAUAAUGACGGUAACCGGAGAAGAAGCCCCGGCUAACUUCGUGCCAGCCGCCGCCGUAAGAC